rnacentral:rRNA from 1 species
AGUCGAGGGGCGCAUGCCGGUUGCUUGCAACCGGUGAUGGCGACCGGCGCACGGGUGAGUAACGCGUAUCCAACCUUCCCGCGACCAAGGGAUAACCUGCCGAAAGGCAGACUAAUACCUUAUGUCCUCCUUUGAAGGCAUCUGACGAGGAGCAAAGAUCCGUCGGUCACGGAUGGGGAUGCGUCCGAUUAGCUUGUUGGCGGGGCAACGGCCCACCAAGGCUUCGAUCGGUAGGGGUUCUGAGAGGAAGGCCCCCCACACUGGAACUGAGACACGGUCCAGACUCCUACGGGAGGCAGCAGUGAGGAAUAUUGGUCAAUGGGCGGAAGCCUGAACCAGCCAAGUAGCGUGCAGGACGACGGCCCUACGGGUUGUAAACUGCUUUUAUGCGGGGAUAAAGUUGCCCACGCGUGGGUUUUUGCAGGUACCGCAUGAAUAAGGACCGGCUAAUUCCGUGCCAGCAGCCGCGGUAAUACGGAAGGUCCGGGCGUUAUCCGGAUUUAUUGGGUUUAAAGGGAGCGCAGGCCGCCGUGCAAGCGUGCCGUGAAAAGCAGCGGCCCAACCGCUGCCCUGCGGCGCGAACUGCCUGGCUUGAGUGCGCCGGAAGCGGGCGGAAUUCGUGGUGUAGCGGUGAAAUGCUUAGAUAUCACGAAGAACCCCGAUUGCGAAGGCAGCCCGCUGUGGCGCCACUGACGCUGAGGCUCGAAGGUGCGGGUAUCGAACAGGAUUAGAUACCCUGGUAGUCCGCACGGUAAACGAUGGAUACCCGCUGUCCGGCCCGUACGGUCUGGGCGGCCAAGCGAAAGCGUUAAGUAUCCCACCUGGGGAGUACGCCGGCAACGGUGAAACUCAAAGGAAUUGACGGGGGCCCGCACAAGCGGAGGAACAUGUGGUUUAUU